UUAACCAAAACCAAAAAGAGGUAUAUUAUUGUUAAUAAUAGAAUUGAAAAAUAAUUUUUUUCUGGUUAA
rnacentral:tRNA from 1 species